AAUUAUGUGCCUGAUAAAAGGAUUAAUUUGAUAGAUUAAAUCAUGAGUGAUUUCUAUUUCAUUA
rnacentral:tRNA from 1 species